rnacentral:rRNA from 1 species
UACGGGGGGAGCAAGCGUUGUUCGGAUUUACUGGGCGUAAAGGGCGCGUAGGCGGCCAGCGCAAGUCAGUUGUGAAAUCUCCGGGCUUAACUCGGAACGGUCAACUGAUACUGCGCGGCUAGAGUGCAGAAGGGGCAACUGGAAUUCUCGGUGUAGCGGUGAAAUGCGUAGAUAUCGAGAGGAACACCGGUGGCGAAAGCGGCGUACUGGGUCUUAUCUGACGCUGAGGCACGUAAGCUAGGGGAGCGAACGGG